rnacentral:rRNA from 1 species
UACUCCUACGGGAGGCAGCAGUGGGGAAUAUUGGACAAUGGGCGAAAGCCUGAUCCAGCCAUGCCGCGUGUGUGAAGAAGGUCUUCGGAUUGUAAAGCACUUUAAGUUGGGAGGAAGGGCAGUAAGUUAAUACCUUGCUGUUUUGACGUUACCAACAGAAUAAGCACCGGCUAACUUCGUGCCAGCAGCCGCGGUAAUA